GAUGAAGAACGUAGUGAAAUGCGAUAAGUAGUGUGAAUUGCAGAAUUCAGUGAAUCAUCGAAUCUUUGAACGCACAUUGCGCCCUAUGGUAUUCCGUAGGGCAUGCCUGUUCGAGCGUCAUUCAAACCUUCAAGCUCUGCUUGGUGUUGGGCGUCUGUCCUGCCUCACGGCGCGGACUCGCCUCAAAUCUAUUGGCGGCCGGCACGUUGGCUUCGAGCGCAGCAGAAACGCGAACUCGAGACCGGCGGAUCGGCUCCCAGAAGCUACCCCCAUGAAUUUGACCUCGGAUCAGGUAGGGAUACCCGCUGAACUUAAGCAUAUCAAUAAGCGGAGGA
rnacentral:misc_RNA from 1 species